UACCAGCACCCCGAGUGGUCGGGACGUUUAUUGGGCCUAAAGCCUCCGUAGCCGGUUCUACAAGUCUUCCGUUAAAUCCACCUGCUUAACAGAUGGGCUGCGGAAGAUACUAUAGAGCUAGGAGGCGGGAGAGGCAAGCGGUACUCGAUGGGUAGGGGUAAAAUCCGUUGAUCCAUUGAAGACCACCAGUGGCGAAGGCGGCUGGCCAGAACGCGCUCGACGGUGAGGGAUGAAAGCUGGGGGAGCAAACCGG
rnacentral:rRNA from 1 species